UUCUAAAAGAUAUGACAUCCGAUAAAAUUAAAACGAUAAGAGAAGAUUAGCAUGAUCCUUAUGCAAGAAUGACAUGCACAAAUCGAGAAAUGGUGCAAAUGAAA